rnacentral:rRNA from 1 species
CAAUAGCGUAUAUUUAAGUUGUUGCAGUUAAAAAGCUCGUAGUCGGAUUUUGGCUGAGAACGAACGGUCCGCCGUUAGGUGUGCACUGUUUGGUCUCAGCUUCCUGGUGAGGAGGUGUGCUUCACGGCCACUUAGUCACCGGGGUUACUUUGAAAAAAUUAGAGUGUUCAAAGCGGGCUUACGCUUGAAUAUAUUAGCAUGGAAUAACACCAUAGGACUCCUGUCCUAUUUCGUUGGUCUCGGGACGGGAGUAAUGAUUAAGAGGAACAGUUGGGGGCAUUCGUAUUUCAUUGUCAGAGGUGAAAUUCUUGGAUUUAUGAAAGACGAACUUCUGCGAAAGCAUUUGCCAAGGAUGUUUUCAUUGA